rnacentral:misc_RNA from 1 species
UUAACUUAUUUAGCUAAUUGCUCAGACUGCAAUCUUCAGACAGCGUUCAAUGGUGUCUUCGGCGGGCGCGGGCCAGAGGGCAGAAGCCCCCCGGCGGCCGUGAGGCGGGCCCGCCGAAGCAACAAGGUACAAGAGACACGGGUGGGAGGUUGGACCCAGAGGGCCCUCACUCGGUAAUGAUCCUUCCGCAGGUUCACCUACGGAAA